AGGAAAGAUGCUCCCUACAAAGAAUGUAGCUCAUCUUCUCUCUUUCAGUAACCCCAAGUGCCGUAUCAGAAUGUUAUACCAAGAGCAAUCACAUACGGCUGGGAAUAUCCGCCAUGUUUGUGGUGUUUAUGGCAGUUUUCCUGGCCGAAGCCUGGUACAGUCAGAGGGCGUCACUAAGCAGACACAGGCCCUACAGCACCCCAGGGCCACCAUGAAUCAUUGGUCAAAGCAGACAAGUUGCUCUUCAGUUUUCUAUGAAGCCUGUACCGCCCGCUCUUUGAAAGCUAUCCUGGGAUGGGAUGACAUCCAUCUCUUCAUUCCUUACACGGCACAGAGGACAGAACUGGCCAUAGAUGUUCACCGGACUUCACUGUUUUACAAUAACUACACUGAAAACUACUCCUAUUUUCCCCUACAGAUAGGGCAUGCUGCCUAGAGCAUAAACCAAAGCCUUGGUACUAUGGAUCUGUUUCUGUGUUCAUAAUUAUGUUAGUAUGAUCUAUAAGGCUUUAUUUUAUAUUUCUUUAGAAUGUAUUUUGUGUACCCUCCUGGAUAUCAUUGGCACUAUGUAUGUAGUAUGCAAAUUAGGUACCUUUUGCAGUGUAUAUUACAUGUAUCUAAUAUACAAUUAAUUGUAAUGGUUUUGAUAAAUUAUUAGGUU
rnacentral:lncRNA from 1 species